CGGACGCGAGCCAGCCGGGCGCCGACAGGCAGCGGUGAGGACGCCUCUCUCUGACGGGGUCCUUGCCGCGGCCGCGUUUUUGGGGUUGGCCCUCGCGGCGACCCGUACCUUCCCGCCGCUCCUCUCGCUCCGUGCUCUCCCCCCGGCCCGGGGAAAUGGAGGAACCCCCCGAUGGCUUCGGCUCCCAACGGUCGCUCCCCGGCGCUGGGUCCAGAGCGGCCCGAGGAGGGGAUGCUCUGUGUGCCGGAACGGUGAGAGUUUCUCAGAGGCAAUCCUCCCGUUGCAGCUGCUGACAGCACUGAAAACCUGUGUGCUUCGUGGUGUCCAUCGCCCAGCUGGCAACGAUUCCCUGGUGUUUGGUGCAUUAAGUCACACCCAGCUGUGUGGGAUGGCAGGUGGGCCCUUUAUUGAACAGAUUUAUCUGCUACAAGGCUAUGCAGAAGGAUGGAAAGGAGGAACACAGGGGGAAAAAAAAAUAGAUGAAAGGUCAUGCAUUGAUCACCUGAUGUACUCCAGAGACAAACAUGGCUAUUACAGGUAACAUGGAGCAGCCCUUCUGGCCUUUUCAGUUGUAUUCAGAGAGAUGUUUGCCUGCUGUGAAUAUCUGGGUGCUUGGAGUUCACUCUGAUUUUAACAAGCCCAUCAAUAAUAAAACAUUGUAUUGAUAGAGCAAGAUCUAAUUCUGUAAAGUUGUUGCUCCACAGAAAAGCAGCAUAAAGAAGCUAGCUGGAUUAUUUGUAUGAUAUGUAGCUUUUUUAGGAUGUUUUGUUCUUUAGAUGGUGUUCAUUUCAAAUACAAGCGUGUGAACUUUGUGUUCCCUUUUAGGGGCUGGUUCUGGGGUAACAAGGAAACACAAGGCCUAAACACCUCUGGCUUGUCUGUCCAAGGAUCUGCCUCAAUUGUGGCUCCCAUCCUUCUGAAGAACUCUUCAGCACAGUGAGUUACCUUCUAUAACUAUUUAUUGUUGUAUUGUUGUUGUGAGACCUCAUUGCUGGGUGAGAAGACCAGGGGAAAUUAAAGGCUGUAUGCCACUGUUACUUCACUGAAUUCUUGUACUCUGUUAAAAUCAAAACAAAAGGGAUUUACACUGUAAGAAACACUUAAAUGUAAGUUAAGGUAAAGGUCACAGUGCUAAAACCUAAGAGCAGAUAGCCUUGAGCUCCUUUAUAUUCCUACUCCUGCCUCCAGGGUAUCAUCAGCUAUCCCCUAGAUCUUGCAGUGGAAGAGAUGCUGAACCAUCAGCUGUUCCAUAUUCUACACCACGUGUCUUUUUACCAUGCUCCUCUGAGAAGCAUCUCUCCCUUCUCUGUUUCUUUGCAGACAAGAAGGGAGAAAUUGGGAUUGCCUUUGUUCUUUUGCCUGUUCAUAAAAAGGCCGCUUGUGGCUGUGUGCAGUGGCAACUGCAUCACAGAAUCUUAGAGGUGAUUAUUCGCAGGUUAAGGAAAUAAUUCCCUUUUUUGUCACUGCUGCGCUGAAUUUCAUAGGCGUGUGUGUGGCUCGAUGCCUAAGAUAUUUAAAGCAGGUUUUAUUCUUACAGGGGUUUUGCACACUAAAUAUGUGAGUGAUAAAAAAGAGAGAGUUUUAAUUAGACAAUUUAAAAAUUAGAAGCUUUAUAAAUUGUAUUAUUUAUAAAUUAGCAAAUUGUUGUAAUUAAAAUUGAGAUUUAAAAAUAAGUUUUUAUUGAAGUGCCUUUAAAAAUAG